UACGUAGGGGGCAAGCGUUGUCCGGAUUCAUUGGGCGUAAAGAGCGUGUAGGCGGCCAGGUAGGUCCGCUGUGAAAGUCCGAGGCUCAACCUCGGAAUGUCGGCGGAAACCCUCUGGCUAGAGUCCGGAAGAGGAGAGUGGAAUUCCCGGUGUAGCGGUGAAAUGCGCAGAUAUCGGGAAGAACACCCGUGGCGAAGGCGGCUCUCUGGAACGGUACUGACGCUGAGACGCGAAAGCGUGGGGAGCGAACAGG
rnacentral:rRNA from 1 species